GUGGGGAAUAUUGCACAAUGGAGGAAACUCUGAUGCAGCGACGCCGCGUGAGUGAAGAAGUAUUUCGGUAUGUAAAGCUCUAUCAGCAGGGAAGAAAAUGACGGUACCUGACUAAGAAGCACCGGCUAAAUACGUGCCAGCAGCCGCGGUAAUACGUAUGGUGCAAGCGUUAUCCGGAUUUACUGGGUGUAAAGGGAGCGUAGGUGGCAAGGCAAGCCAGAAGUGAAAACCCGGGGCUCAACCGCGGGAUUGCUUUUGGAACUGUCAUGCUAGAGUGCAGGAGGGGUGAGCGGAAUUCCUAGUGUAGCGGUGAAAUGCGUAGAUAUUAGGAGGAACACCGGAGGCGAAGGCGGCUCACUGGACUGUAACUGACACUGAGGCUCGAAAGCGUGGGGAGCAAACAGGA
rnacentral:rRNA from 1 species